CCUGUUUUCCACCUGAUAAACAAUCACCCCCAACUCCUGGGGCACCACGUCCCCUGGCUGUGCCCGGGUCUGGUCAGAAGCCGGUGGUGAAACUGCUCCUCCCUUCACAAAAGAUAAAGGAGGGAGCCCCGAGCACGAAGCUAAACAAGCCAUGUUGGGCCAGUAUUCCAGCCUUCAUUUUCACAAGAAUCAUCAACAAAUACAGACUCUUGGUCACUCACCUAGAGCUGGGGACGGAUUUGCAGUGUGACAGACAGAUGUCAUGUGACGCAGCAGUCAUGUCUGAGCCCAUUCACCAGCGCGGAGUGGUGAGUCAGGGACCUCGGCCCGCACGAUCUCCGGCUGGAUUCAUUCUCUCGACGUCUGUCUCUGGUGCUGACUCCAGGCUUCUCACCAAGCUUUGCAAAGGGCCUCCUUCAGCUCAACCACAGAGACGCCAGGCUGGGUGGCCCCUGGCCUCCGUUUUCUGGCCUGUUCCGGGCAAGGCCAGCCUCAGCUGGAUGGCGUGCGGGUUGGUGUGUCAGCCGCCGCCUCUUUAUAAGCUCUGGACGGGGCGCCAAGGCUGGGUAACCACAGCAGCCUUCCGGCUUCGGGGCGGCCGUGCCAAGGCCUAAGCAGAGAGGGUCCACGAGGAGCCUUCGAAUCGCGAGCAAACGGCAGGGAGGCCCAGCCGUGAUUACGUGUCCGCGGAGCUGAAACAAACGAGGUGACAGAAACACAAGAAAGGAAGCGUGGCUGUGCCGCUGCCCACACCCUCUGCCUAGACGGGCCCUCGGCGAGCCACCACCCUGGACCGAUGGGACCGUGCCAGGGCUGAGCCUCGACUGUGGGCAACGCUGGGUGGAGGCAGAAAUAGCGUCUGUAAACAAUUAGGCCGCCACUGCGCAGUCAGCGCCGUCCCGCGAAGCCGAGGAAGUCUGCAAUCAGUUAUAUCUCCAAUUACCAUAAAAAUAUAUUAGCCAUUCAUUCAUUUAUUAAUGAUUCAUCAGUUAACCACACAUAAUGAGCAAAUAAUUAGCAGUGCUGUACGGCUGCCAAAACUGAAGAAGUGUUGGCAUUUUAAAGAGGAAAGGUUGCAUUUAUGCAAAAGUCUGGUGACGAUAAAGUUGCUAUGGAAGAGAACUGUAAAAGUGGCUGUCCUGUGUCACAGGCGGCGGUACGACAAAAGUUGCCUCAUGGAACCCAAAUGAAUAUUCUUCCAAAGUCUGUGUGUUGCCGCACACCCGAUGCUGGAUGCCUCUCGAAGAUCUCCCCUCCGUGCGGGCACCGCACAAUACAAGCUAAUAAAAUGCCAGACAGCUCGACUGGGUUCUUUGUUUGCUCGGUGCGGGCCUCGUGGAAAACAAGACGUCGCAUUCAUGUCAGCGGAGGCCCAUCCCUCUGCUAAUUACGGUUUGGUGCUGGAAUGACUCCUGUGAAAUUGGGAGCGGGGGAAACAUCCAGCCGCACAAGGGAGGCUUUUCAGAGUUUUGCAGUAAGUGGGAGCCAGGCGCAGGCCCAGGCACCCAGAUGCUAAACAGCGCACGCCCCCGCGCGGGCAGGACACCGAUGGGGACCCCGUCAGGGGAAGUCCGAUCCGGUCUGUGGUCAAAAGCUAAUUAAGGUUUCUGUACUUAAAAAGAAUAUGAAUGCCCGGGGGUGGCGCUGAAGGUACGAGAACCUCGCCGGUUUGGAGAAAACUUCUAGUGUGCACAGGGGCCACGCGGGGCUGCUACCUGCCGCCUAACACCUGUUUGCUGCGCUGCCCUGGGCUUUGCUGGGUGCACCGGGGCGGUGCUUUCAGAGGUCAGCGAGCCCUGCUCAGGCCGCAGUGGCCUCCUGCCUUGGGGCCUGGCGGGAGGCAUGGGUUGAGGUCGCGGAUGAAAGUGGAUCCUUAGAAGUCACCCUGGGAUCCCCGACGGUGCUCUGCUUUGCCACAUGAAAACCACCCCAGCUGAUCCUGCCCAACUGCCUGGCGCCGCUGACCAAAGAGUGCCCGCAGAGAGUGUGGGGCCGCCUGCUCUCCCCGGGGACACAAAGGGGCGUCUGCCCGGGGACAGCCUGGGGACAGCUGCGGCGGGCAGGCCGGCCGCUCCUCGUAGAGGAAAUGAAUUUACAAUGCGGCAGCCUGUUCGUUUUCCCCACGCACAAAUUUCCCCUUAAAUACUUAAAAACAACACCCAGAGCUGCAUAUACCUAAAAUUUCGAAUAAAUGAGAGCUUAAUCCA
rnacentral:lncRNA from 1 species